UAGGGAAUAUUGCACAAUGGGGGAAACCCUGAUGCAGCGACGCCGCGUGAAGGAAGAAGUAUCUCGGUAUGUAAACUUCUAUCAGCAGGGAAGAAAAUGACGGUACCUGACUAAGAAGCCCCGCUAACUACGUGCCAGCAGCCGCGGUAAUAACGUAGGGGCAAGCGGUUAUCCGGAUUUACUGGGUGUAAAGGGAGCGUAGACGGAGAGGCAAGUCUGGAGUGAAAACCCGGGCGUCAACCCGGCAGCGCUUGGCAAUUGAACUGUUUUUUCUAGAGUGUCGGAGAGGUAAGUGGAAUUCCUAGUGUAGCGGUGAAAUGCGUAGAUAUUAGGAGGAACACCAGUGGCGAAGGCGGCUUACUGGACGAUGACUGACGUUGAGGCUCGAAAGCGUGGGGAGCAAACAGGAUUAGAUACC
rnacentral:rRNA from 1 species